AUUGGACGCUGGCGGCAUGCCUUACACAUGCAAGUCGAACGGCAGCGGACCUUCGGGUGCCGGCGAGUGGCGAACGGGUGAGUAAUGCAUCGGAACGUACCUUUCAGUGGGGGAUAACGUAGCGAAAGUUACGCUAAUACCGCAUAUUCUGUGAGCAGGAAAGCAGGGGAUCGCAAGACCUUGCGCUGAUUGAGCGGCCGAUGUCAGAUUAGCUAGUUGGUGCGGUAAAGGCUCACCAAGGCGACGAUCUGUAGCGGGUCUGAGAGGAUGAUCCGCCACACUGGGACUGAGACACGGCCCAGACUCCUACGGGAGGCAGCAGUGGGGAAUUUUGGACAAUGGGGGCAACCCUGAUCCAGCCAUGCCGCGUGAGUGAAGAAGGCCUUCGGGUUGUAAAGCUCUUUCGGCCGGGAAGAAAUCGCACAGGCUAAUACCUUGUGUGGAUGACGGUACCGGAAUAAGAAGCACCGGCUAACUACGUGCCAGCAGCCGCAGUAAUAC
rnacentral:rRNA from 1 species